UACGUAGGUGGCAAGCGUUGUCCGGAAUUAUUGGGCGUAAAGCGCGCGCAGGCGGCCUUUUAAGUCUGAUGUGAAAGCCCACGGCUCAACCGUGGAAGGUCAUUGGAAACUGAAAGGCUUGAGUACAGAAGAGGAAAGCGGAAUUCCACGUGUAGCGGUGAAAUGCGCAGAUAUCAGGAAGAACACCCGUGGCGAAGGCGGUUCUCUGGAACGCAACUGACGCUGAGACGCGAAAGCGUGGGGAGCAAACAGG
rnacentral:rRNA from 1 species